rnacentral:rRNA from 1 species
UACGGAGGGGGCUAGCGUUAUCCGGAAUUAUUGGGCGUAAAGAGCUCGUAGGCGGUCUGUCGCGUCGGCUGUGAAAUCCCGAGGCUCAACCUCGGGUCUGCAGUCGAUACGGGCAAACUAGAGUAUUGCAGGGGAGACUGGAAUUCCUGGUGUAGCGGUGAAAUGCGCAGAUAUCAGGAGGAACACCGGUGGCGAAGGCGGGUCUCUGGGCAAUAACUGACGCUGAGGAGCGAAAGCGUGGGGAGCGAACAGG